UUGAGCCUACGGGGGGCAGCAGUGGGGAAUAUUGCACAAUGGGGGGAACCCUGAUGCAGCGACGCCGCGUGAGUGAAGAAGUAAUUCGUUACGUAAAGCUCUAUCAGCAGGGAAGAAACACUGACCUUACGGUCAGCAGACGGUACCUGAGUAAGAAGCCCCGGCUAACUACGUGCCAGCAGCCGCGGUAAUACGUAGGGGGCAAGCGUUAUCCGGAUUUACUGGGUGUAAAGGGAGCGUAGGCGGUGCAGCAAGUCAGAAGUGAAAGCCCGGGGCUCAACUCCGGGACUGCUUUUGAAACUGUU
rnacentral:rRNA from 1 species